rnacentral:antisense_RNA from 1 species
UAUUCGGGCGGGCCGUGGCGAGGGCACCUCACGGUGCGCCGGUCUUUGAACGAUCUCCCGGUAGUCCAACCUUGUCAUGCGCCCGCCU